rnacentral:rRNA from 1 species
AUUGAACGCUGGCGGCAUGCUUUACACAUGCAAGUCGAACGGUAACAGGCCUUCGGGUGCUGACGAGUGGCGAACGGGUGAGUAAUGCAUCGGAACGUACCCAGAGGUGGGGGACAACGCAGCGAAAGCUGUGCUAAUACCGCAUGUGAUCUGAGGAUGAAAGCGGGGGACCGAGCAGCAAUGUUUGGCCUCGCGCCUUUGGAGCGGCCGAUGUCGGAUUAGCUAGUUGGUGGGGUAAAGGCCUACCAAGGCGACGAUCCGUAGCUGGUCUGAGAGGACGACCAGCCACACUGGGACUGAGACACGGCCCAGACUCCUACGGGAGGCAGCAGUGGGGAAUUUUGGACAAUGGGCGCAAGCCUGAUCCAGCAAUGCCGCGUGCGGGAAGAAGGCCUUCGGGUUGUAAACCGCUUUUGGCAGGAACGAAACGGUGUCCGCUAAUACCGGGCGCUAAUGACGGUACCUGCAGAAUAAGCACCGGCUAACUACGUG